UUCUGCUCCUCCCAUUUUCUCUUCUCCUCUAACCCUAUCCCAAGAUCUCCAAAUCAAACCCAAGUGUUCGUAAAUCGAAACCCAUAUCUCCUAAUCGAAUCUCAUGAAUCAAAACUAGUCCAGAAAUCAAAACCCAAUAUUUCAAUAACUCAAACCCUAGAAAUUCUUAUUUUGUAAAGUUGAACGAUUCUGUAAGGUGUGCUUGAGUCCAAACUGAAUUUUUUUCUCUAGUGAUGAACUGAUGGAUCCGGUUUUCAACGAAUUUUACAGAGAUAGAGAUGUUUAUGGUGUUGCUGAUGAUAUCUUUGAGGUGACUACUUCAAUUGGUGAAUGGUUUGUACGGACAAAGACGCUAGAUCUUGCAGGCAUAUCUCAUAUCCAUGUUAGAUAGGUAUGAAAAGUUGUAGCGGCGGGAUGAUGCUCUCAAGGUGUGAACUGUCAAAACAUCUCAGGCAGCAAGUCCCUAUGUCAGUUUAGAUGCAUGGUCAAUGAAAGUUGAUUAAAAACAUCUGGUGAGGCUUCUUCAGGGGUACUAAGGAGGAUUGGGCAUAAUGGAUGAGACACUUUAUUAUUGAGCUUCUCAAAGAAUUAUCAUUACCAUAUUUGCGAACUUGUGCGAGGCUUGCACAAUUGUAGUCAUUCGUUGGUCGUGUGUUGUUUGUAUCUGUUUUUGUGAGUUGCUGAAUUCAGCUGACGAGGAGAUGUAUGCACUAUGCUUAUCUGGAAGUGUUUUUGAUGGGAAAGGAAGUAAGACAGAACAUCAACUUGAGAGUUCGAGAUACACCAAUUACAUUCACAGAGGAUGGUUUCACUGAAAAUGGAGUUCGCACCGCUGACUGUAGUCUUCACCCUGUGGAUCCUUUCGUAGAGUAUGACAUUUAACUUCUCAAUGCAGGUCAUAUUACUUUCCUGAUGUGAUAUUUCUUAUGUAUAUGAUGCUCAAGCGAACUACUUACUCUUAUUAAUUUGUGAUUUUUGGAUUCUUUCUCAGGCAAUUAAUCAUAUCAUCAACUGUGUAGCAAAAUCAAACCACAUGUCUGUUGGUCAGACUUCAAUAGUUUUGUACCUAUUGUUAUUAGAGGCCCAAAUGAUGUUACCCCCGGGUAUAACCAGAGAAUAUCAUCAGAUUUUUAAGUAUGCUUUGAAAUCUGUUUAGUGAAUGUAAAACGGUAGAUUUACUUAUUCUCUUGUUUCAAAAGCAUGAAAAUUUGCAUUACUUUAGAUUAUCAAUGUCAAAAGUUAUACGAGAAGAUAUGUUAGAUUUACUAAUUGAGUGUUUGCUUUCUACCUUCAUGUAUGCUUUAACUUCUUUACUAUCUUGAACUUCAUUAAUGAGUAUCAUUUAUAAGCAAGUGUAAGAAAAACCAUUAUUACUUAUUCAGCUCAUUGUUAAUGUCUCAUCUGUUGCUCAUCCUUCUCAAACAGUGGAGUGUUCAGUUGCUGAGGUCUUGAACAGAGCAAACAGAUUCCCUAUGAUUGAUAGUUCCCCAACCGCAUAAUUAUAAUGUCUGUUUUAGUAUCUAUUUUUGUCCUGGAACUUCUGUAUGUUUCUUUCUCUUGUAGGAACCUCCUGCCAAGGCAUCCAAAGCAAGGAAAGCCCAUGCACCUGCAAGGCUGCAACCAAGAUGAAAGAAGAGUCCAACAAUGAUAACUAUGGUGGGAGUGAUUGCGAGGAUGAGGUUUGUCUUGUUCAAUUUUUCUUAUUGGUUUUAUUAGGCUAGCUGAUUUAUUUAAAUCCGCUGAUGUAACAACCAGCAGUAAAGAAACAAGAAUCCAGUGAUAACAUUUCAGAUGAUUCUUAAGAUGAAGAGGUAAAAAAACCCAUUAAUACUAUAUAGAUGUAGUUUUAUGUUGCUUAUAAUUUAUUUGCUUGAGAAUAUUAUUUUUGUUGUUGCGAGUGUGGUACAACUUCUGGUUCGACGAUUUAGAUAAAUUCAUUAUGUUAUGAGGGAAUACUCUCAGUAACAUGCAUAGAGUAUGGCUAUCCGACUUAUGUGAAUAAUGUUUCUUGUUUCUUAAAAGCUAUGUGAUGAAGUGUUAAUUUAGAGGUUUCAAAUUGACUUCUUGACAUAAUGCUUGUUCAAGUUGGCCUAAACUGAUCAGUUGGAUUGGCAUUCCUAAUGCUAAUGUGCAUCAGCAUCUCGGUUUCUUGUGUCCCAUAAUAUCUAAAUGAAGCUAUUCAUUCUUUCAGGUUUCUUGUGACCGUAAUGUUAAAGCCUGCCGCCAAAAAGAAAAGUAGCUCUGAGGAAAGUUCCUUAGAUGAAGAACCUGCUGAAGAUAAUGCUGUGAAAAGGGUUUCUAUAGUAUAAGGAUGUAAUAAUCAAUUUACAAAAUGAUUCUAAUAUUAGGCUUGAUGUUUAUUCAUUCCACACUUAAUUAUUUUUCUAGGCACCUGAUGCCGAAGAUAGCAGUUAUGAAUCUAAUGAUUCUGGCGAUGAGAGUGAAGAUGAUAAUCCUUUAAAGACCCCUGAUGAAGAGGCGAACAAAUGGAAAGAGGCUGAAGCAAUACUCGCAAAAACAGUAACGAUCUUUUCUUGUUGUUUCUUAGGGGUUUUCAAUAGAUUGUUGUUUCUUUUUUAAUCAAACCGUGCAUGGGUUUGUGUCUACACUUUACAGGAUCAUGAAGAUGUUAGUUUACUUGUAUGUGUUUGUUUAA